AUGACUGACACUAGUCUAGAUGGUGUAGUCUCACCUCUCUGGGGACCCUCCCUUCCCCUCCUGAUUACUGACACUAGUCUAGAUGGUGUAGUCUCACCUCUCUGGGGACACUCCCCUCCCCUCCUGAUGACUGACACUAGUCUAGAUGGUGUAGUCUCACCUCUCUGGGGACCCUCCCCUCCCCUCCUGAUGAAUCAAAUCUAUUACAUUUCGUAUUUCUUUACUAACUCAGGAUAUGUUCAUGCUCUGAAUACACUUACCGACCCCUACUGCGGUAUCACCAUGGUUACACUGACCGACCCAAACUCAGACGAGGUUCUACUGCGGUAUCACCAUGGUUACACUGACCGACACAAACUCAGACGAGGUUCUACUGCAGUAUUACCAUGGUUACACUGACCGACCCAAACACAGUCUAGGUUCUACUGCAGUAUUACCAUGGUUACACUGACCGACCCAAACUCAGACUAGGUUCUACUGCAGUAUUACCAUGGUUACACUGACCGACCCAAACUCAGACGAGGUUCUACUGCCGUAUUACCAUGGUUACACUCCUCAAUACCGGUAACAGCCUUGCUUGUGUACAUCUUCAGGUGAUUUCUUUGUUGUUUUCAACUGUCUACAUAUUUAAAAAAAAUACUUUAACAGAAAUCAGUUAUUUUAUGCAUCGAUUUGGACUCUAAAUGAUAAAUGUUUAAUUGUUGUAGUGAAGCGUUUAGUUUUGCUGAAAUCUUUUUCUGUCUACAUUUUGCUUCAGGUCUGUGAUUUAAAAAAAUAUAUUUUUUUGAUUGAUUUGUGUCUAAAAAAUACUGAUAAUUAAAAAUCUUUAAAGAG